CGUCACAUUAUUAAUUUAGAAUUGUCAAUAGCACCAAAUCACCAUAGAUUUGAAAUUACAAUAUCAAAAACUCACAAAAUUUGAUUGAGCAUUUUUUAAGCAUGAGCCUAACAUCUCUUUUCAAUUUUUACAUGCAAGUAAAAAUAGUGCACCAAAAGAACUGUACCUUUAAAUCAUAAUUCUUCCAUCUCUUUUCAUUUCUAUGUAUGUUCAUAGUUAUAGAACAAUUAAUGGUAAGCGACCUUAUUGGAACACCUGUGUGGUUUGACCCUUGUCCAAAAUAGAAGUUUAUCAUGAAGGCCUCAUAGAAAAUUCAACAUAACAUGAAUAAGAGUUAAUCAAAGACCAAAAAGUGAUUUAGCAUCAAUUUUGAUGUCAAAGGUACUGGUUAUUCUAAAAUUUAUCUUGCCACCCUCAAACCUUUCAAAAAUAUUGCCACCCUCGUGUUGUAUCCUCCAAAAAUACAUAGCUUUUUGGAUGAUUCACCACACAACAUCAUGUAGCCUGAAAACUACAUGCAUGAUCUUAUUUCACCAUUGCAAAAUGACUCCUCUUGACUGAGAAAUGCUGAAAGAACUGUUCCACUGCCUAAAAAAAUGAAGAAAAAUAUAAGUAAGCCUAUUCAUGAAUGAUCAAAUCUCUCACGAAGUAACUAAUAUAAUAGGUUAUCUCUUCUUUUGAUGAAGUAAAGAAGAAUAGGUCUAUCUCUAAAAUGAAAUUAGACACAACUUAAUAGUUAAAAGGUUAAUAGGCCAAAUAGUCGGCAAGCCACUAUUAAAAUAAAAAAAUUGAGGUCCCUGCACUUAUAACAUCUCAAUUGCUUCGUUAGACUUAUAUCUGUAACAGACUGCAAUAGAUCAAUUAAUUGGACAUUACAGAUUCCACAAAAAAGGUCCUUGAAACAUAAUUCCGUCUCAACAUCUAUGUAGAAAGACAAACAAACAUCACUCUGAAGAACAGAAGUAGGAACAUCUCAUCUUCAGUAGCAGUAGCUACUGGUUAAUUCACACCAAGUACAAUUCAAAACAAAGAAAAAACUACUUGCUAAUUUAAGGGAGAAGCUACAGUCAAGUAGGCAUGUUACAACAAAGUUUAAAAAGAUAUAUUUAUAAAUCCGAAAAAGUUUAAUGAGUAAUAGCAUGCUAAGUUUUGGUAGGAGAUAUCUUUCCAAAUUUAAAUAAAUUUUAGGAGCUUUUACAUUCUAUAAAGGAGAGCUUAUCUUUGUGACUGGAAGUUCUGCUACCAUCUUUAGCCAUCAGUUUCUUUCACAAGUUUAACUUUCAAGGGUUUACAUUACCUCUCUACCAAGAAUCAACAAACAAAGAAUUUUCAUGUCAAAGCUUAAAGUAGAAACAAUUUUUCUAAUGUUACAUACAAAAUGAUUCAUAUAAGAGUUUUAAAACUUUCUUAUUUGAAGUCUAACGUUUAAUCAGAUUGUCUCAGUAAAAAUCUGGUCCUCUUCUUCAGAGGAAGCACUCUAAACUUAGGCUGGUAAUCAAUCUCUAGCAUGGGCCUGACCACUUAAAGUGAAGAAUAUUAAUCAGCUAAGGAUGGUCCUUGUAUACAUAGUCUCGCAAUCUUAAUAGAUAUCCAACAGAAAACAUGAGAAACGUAAUCGACAACGGCGUAAGCAAAAGCAGAUAAAACCACAUGAUAUUAUUUUAUAAGCCUGCUAAAUUAGGUAAAAAUAAGUAUCAGACAAAGAUCUCCACCAGAAAAGAACAAAAAAAAUGCCAAAAAUUACAUGAAAAGAGUUUACUUUUGCUACAUAUUCGGCUACACUGAUUCCCUAUGAAUAUGGCGGUAGUUUACUAUUUCAGUUGCAAGAGGCACACUAAGGAGAUCAAAUUGGAUAUGUGAUUAAUGAGAUGGUGCUAUACAAGUUCAUAUUCUUGGAAGAGGAUACGCUACAAAGCAAACAGUUUCGUCAUAAAAUAUAAGUUUUUGUAGCUGCUCCAUGUACUACAUAUAUAUAAUCUCCAUAUGAAAAAUAUUCAACCGUUAAUAAGCAUGAGAAAUGUUUUUUUUUGAAGAGGCUAAGGCAUGGAACUAUCACAGAUCAAAGAGUAUCGAACUUUUAACAGCCAAUAUAUUCUAAAAGUUCCAUUGACUAUGAUAUCCGAUUUUAUUUUAUUUUUGUUACGAUUAGUUGAAAAGUUCUUUUUCGAAGGCUUCUCUUACUUUCCUUUCCUUAUUUAAUAUGGUUUUGGAAGUAACACAACUCUACAUUUUCAUAUAGUAACAGAUAUAACAGAAAGUGCACACACCUAUAAAAAUAAGAGUUCUCUUCUUUUAGAGUAGCAACAAAACGUAGAAGGAAAAACAUUAUUUUGCACGUCCACUUCGUAGUUAGUGGCAUAAUUGCAUCGAUAGUAAGCCUCUAUUCCAUUUUGGAAAUACUACGUUCAUCCAUGAUAAUAAUAUUGUAAGAAGAGCUGAUAUUGGAGGAAAUUAAUAAACUAAGUUACAACUAAAUAUUUGCAAGCAGAACUUGUCCAGUUGCGCAUUUUGGUCACAACAAAUGGCACAUGGAAACUUAAAAUAUCAGAGUUAUGUUUGUCUACCAUGGUUAGUAGCAAAGAUAAUUUGUCUGGGUCAUUUUUAGAAGCACAAAAGGACAUAAUUUUAAUGCAGGGAAAAGUUCUGUAGGAAAAUAUAUUUACUACACUACAUAUGUAUAAUUUUCUGGAUAAAUAACCAAAGGGUAAGCAAUUGGCCAAAAUCUCAAGUCUACAACUAUGAUUUUUCGUUGUUUUGUAAGAAAAGUGGAAUUGACGUUGAUUGGGUUUCUCAAUAUUGUAUUGAAAAGUUGAGUCCAUAAUUUUUAUAUUAGAAUUAACGAAGUUUCUUUAAAUAUUUAUAGAACAAAAAAAUUAAGUUGUUGAAGGUCUUUAUCGAGCACUUGUAAGGUGAAGAUCCUGCUACGAAACAGAUGGAGUAAUCAACCAUGAAACAACAACACAUUAUAUUAAUCAAAAACACAAACGAAAAGUGUAAGGUAAUUCAAACCCGCAGAAAAUAAUAAGAUAUAAGUGUCCCUUUUCUGAUGUCCCACCAUAACAUAAUUCUUUAAUUAUUUUUCUCUGUUGAUUCCGAGGAGAAUAAGACCACACAUUUGUAAGUCUUACUUACUUGUUUCUUUGUAUCACAUAAGCACACCUCUUGUUGAGGAGAAUGGCAAAAGCAUUCACUCAAAAGAAGAGGUCAAUACAAAAGUUAAAAGGAGUGGGCUGAACAAUGUAGACAAAGUAGAAUUUUUUCUAGCUAAGAUAAUUUUCCAAACACCUGGUGGACAUCAAAAAUCUUUCAACAGAAAAACCACAUAUGCAUGCUCCAUUAAAUUUUAAAUCUUGCUACAACUCAAAAAUAAAAUUAGAAGAAUGAUCAUACCAAUUAAGUGAUUGUGCUCUUAAUCUCCUGGUGUGGUAGGUUGAUGAAGUUGUUACCAAAAAGCAAAGAUUUCCAUAAUUGAUGUUCUUUGCUUCAUGUUAGGACUGAGAGAAUUCCCUAAAAUUUAAGCGAGACACGAUUUAGAAUUUAAAAUCCUAAAGAAAUAAGUAGAGAAAAUUUCAAAAUUCGAAAUAAAAAUGAUUAAGAAGUAACCGAUGUGAAAGAAUCAUCAAUUGUAAUACAAUUUUUGUGCUCUUCUUUGCCUGAUGUGGAAGAAUCAUAUACAGUCUCAUUCUCUCUUUUAAACUGGAAGAGACAGAGGAAAGAGAUAAUGGAACGAUCUAGAACCGAAAGGAAGUACAAGUAUAAAUCAGUCCUUUGAUAUUAUUAUUUUAUCCUUGAAUAAUAAUUAUAUUUACAAGUUUGCCCUUGGUCUUCC
rnacentral:lncRNA from 1 species